UACUCACCCAUGAAAGAAAACGACCUUACUCACUUUUGAGUAAACACUAACAUAUUUGACUCACUUUGGAACUGUCAAAUACUUGUGAAAAUUUCGGCUUCCAAGUUUAGGAGUAAAUAUCGUUUGAAGCGAGAUCGGAGUUUUUGAAGGUAACCAAGUCCUGGUUUUGAUCGAACCGCAAGAAAAAAGUUUAUAUACAUCUUUCCGGAAAAGCUACUGGCUCGGGCAAACAUCCGGAUCAACAUCCAGCGAAUGAAUAUUCACCGGAAGAACAUUGAGUGGUAAAAUGCGCAGCAAAAUCGUUAAUUUUUGGUAUACACGGUCCGCAGUUUACUACGAACCUUUAGGUUUCUUCCCGCUGGAAGUUGCCGUGUGACGUCAUCGUAAAUUGAUCCCCCUCCGGGGAUCCAUUCCUGAGAAGCGAGAAAAAAAUGGACCCAAACAUCACAAUUGUAUUACUUGUAAUAUAAUGUACUAUUCAUUUAUUUAUGUAUGAG